CAUUCUUCGUCGUUCGUAAAUAACAAAUCAAGAAACCGAUUGUUUUGAUUUGGUAUUCCACAAACUUGAAGCAGAUCAGCUGCAGCCAUAUCGUCAACGAGAAUAGCUUCUUCUGACGACACAUUAUCGAUUAACGCACUUACGCUUGCGGUGUGAGAAGAAUAUCGCUGACUGCUUGAACUCGGAGGUCGAUUCAUUGAUUAACGUGCUAACCAAACGGUUGUGGACGGCAAUCAGCACACCACCACCAGAAGCUUUAUCGGAAUUGGCAGGCGACCGAUCGCAGCGAACGCAUAUACAUCGUAAUCCAACUCGAGCGAGGACAAAAAAACGCUCUCGAGUCUCCCUCUGCUUCGGAUGCUGUUCAUAUUCUGGCAAACGACUUGAUGAACGCGGCAGAAAGUUUGUGCUUGGAAUUUGAGGGAGCAAACUAUUGUUGGCGAAACGAAACCUGCAUUGUUGGAUCCGUACGCUGGGCCAAAAAGGGAUUGACAAUAGGUUGUUCGUUGCUUGCAACUGUUUGGGCGACUAGAUCAGAAGUAGUGGCGGGAACAGCAACUAUAGGUUGUGAAUCGAACCGAAAUACAUCGGAUCGGCGUGCAGAAGUGAAUUCGAAUUCACGGAAAUAUAUUCCUUUCUGCCAUGUUGAGGCAGUGAGGGCUUUUUCCUUGUGUUCAAUUGCAAUUCCUACUUUGAAGGACACGAAUGAUAAUUCGUUCAAACAUCUUCCCCUAGGUAUCAGUUUAAUCACUUCCACCUCGGAGCUUAUAUUCAUAUUUAAUUUAACCAAUCUCAUAAUAUCUUCAACUGUUGUUUGGGGGUCAAAUUUAGAUA